rnacentral:rRNA from 1 species
AACCUGCCCAAGAGAUCGGGAUAACACCUGGAAACAGAUGCUAAUACCGGAUAACAACAGAUGAUGCCUAUCAACUGUUUAAAAGAUGGUUCUGCUAUCACUCUUGGAUGGACCUGCGGUGCAUUAGCUAGUUGGUAGGGUAACGGCCUACCAAGGCGAUGAUGCAUAGCCGAGUUGAGAGACUGAUCGGCCACAUUGGGACUGAGACACGGUCCAAACUCCUACGGGAGGCAGCAGGA